CUAAGCGUACACGGUGGAUGCCCUGGCAGUCAGAGGCGAUGAAGGGCGUGCUAAUCUGCGAUAAGCGCCGGUAAGGUGAUAUGAACCGUUAUAACCGGCGAUACCCGAAUGGGGAAACCCAGUGUGAUUCGUCACACUAUCAUUAACUGAAUCCAUAGGUUAAUGAGGCGAACCGGGGGAACUGAAACAUCUAAGUACCCCGAGGAAAAGAAAUCAACCGAGAUUCCCCCAGUAGCGGCGAGCGAACGGGGAGGAGCCCAGAGCCUGAAUCAGCAUGUGUGUUAGUGGAAGCGUCUGGAAAGGCGCGCGAUACAGGGUGACAGCCCCGUACACAAAAGCGCAUGUGCUGUGAGCUCGAUGAGUAGGGCGGGACACGUGGUAUCCUGUCUGAAUAUGGGGGGACCAUCCUCCAAGGCUAAAUACUCCUGACUGACCGAUAGUGAACCAGUACCGUGAGGGAAAGGCGAAAAGAACCCCGGCGAGGGGAGUGAAAAAGAACCUGAAACCGUGUACGUACAAGCAGUGGGAGCACCCUGUGUGACUGCGUACCUUUUGUAUAAUGGGUCAGCGACUUAUAUUCUGUAGCAAGGUUAACCGAAUAGGGGAGCCGGAGGGAAACCGAGUCUUAACCGGGCGUUAAGUUGCAGGGUAUAGACCCGAAACCCGGUGAUCUAGCCAUGGGCAGGUUGAAGGUUGGGUAACACUAACUGGAGGACCGAACCGACUAAUGUUGAAAAAUUAGCGGAUGACCUGUGGCUGGGGGUGAAAGGCCAAUCAAACCGGGAGAUAGCUGGUUCUCCCCGAAAGCUAUUUAGGUAGCGCCUCGUGAAUUCAUCUCCGGGGGUAGAGCACUGUUUCGGCUAGGGGGCCAUCCCGGCUUACCAACCCGAUGCAAACUGCGAAUACCGGAGAAUGUUAUCACGGGAGACACACGGCGGGUGCUAACGUCCGUCGUGAAGAGGGAAACAACCCAGACCGCCAGCUAAGGUCCCAAAGUCAUGGUUAAGUGGGAAACGAUGUGGGAAGGCCCAGACAGCCAGGAUGUUGGCUUAGAAGCAGCCAUCAUUUAAAGAAAGCGUAAUAGCUCACUGGUCGAGUCGGCCUGCGCGGAAGAUGUAACGGGGCUAAACCAUGCACCGAAGCUGCGGCAGCGACGCUGAUGCGUUGUUGGGUAGGGGAGCGUUCUGUAAGCCUGUGAAGGUGGCCUGUGAGGGUUGCUGGAGGUAUCAGAAGUGCGAAUGCUGACAUAAGUAACGAUAAAGCGGGUGAAAAGCCCGCUCGCCGGAAGACCAAGGGUUCCUGUCCAACGUUAAUCGGGGCAGGGUGAGUCGACCCCUAAGGCGAGGCCGAAAGGCGUAGUCGAUGGGAAACGGGUUAAUAUUCCCGUACUUGGUGUUACUGCGAAGGGGGGACGGAGAAGGCUAUGUUGGCCGGGCGACGGUUGUCCCGGUUUAAGCGUGUAGGUGUGUGUUCCAGGUAAAUCCGGUUCACUUUAACACUGAGGCGUGACGACGAGGCACUACGGUGCUGAAGCAACAAAUGCCCUGCUUCCAGGAAAAGCCUCUAAGCAUCAGGUAACAUCAAAUCGUACCCCAAACCGACACAGGUGGUCAGGUAGAGAAUACCAAGGCGCUUGAGAGAACUCGGGUGAAGGAACUAGGCAAAAUGGUGCCGUAACUUCGGGAGAAGGCACGCUGACACGUAGGUGAAGUGAUUUACUCAUGGAGCUGAAGUCAGUCGAAGAUACCAGCUGGCUGCAACUGUUUAUUAAAAACACAGCACUGUGCAAACACGAAAGUGGACGUAUACGGUGUGACGCCUGCCCGGUGCCGGAAGGUUAAUUGAUGGGGUCAGCGCAAG
rnacentral:rRNA from 1 species